AGUCUCAUAUCAACCCCCCUGUUUCCUUGACAAGAUAGAAUGCAGAAUGUUUAAAGGCCAACGUUGAGUUAUCGAUGUCAUCAUCGUUCACAAAGGCAAACCUGUCUAUACAAAGUCCGGUUUUUGGAUUCGGGUGGUCGAAAAUUUCAUCACACGGCAAGCCCUCUAACACUGACGCAAACCAGGACUUGGUGGUGAUGAUCUUGGCGCCCUAGAAACAGUUCCUGGCAACAUCACAAUCUAAAUCUUUGAACUUCAAUCUGACCAUAUGCAGUUUUGACAACAAAGACAUGAAAUGUGUUCAGAGGUUGAAUUAUACGAAUAACUUUUCAUGUCAGUCAGAUCUCCGUCCGCUUUAACGAGGUCAUUUACUUUGACAGGUCUCAAAUGGCCAGCCAUGGUUGUUUACGAACGGGGACGUAGUUUUGGUUUUUACUGUAAAAUGAAAAUCAUGUGAAAUAAAUGAAAAAAAAUGAUAA